rnacentral:sRNA from 1 species
ACAGCAGUCUCUCUUCUUGCAGUGCCAUGGAGAAGGGGAAAUUGCACAAGCCAGGAAAGGACGCGUCGAAGCGCGGGCGGCAGACGCCAGUGCUGUAUGCAAUGCUGGACCACAGCAGAAGCACCAAAGCUGUCAGUGAGAAGAAGGCCAAGGGGCUGGGGGAGUCUCGCAAGGAUAAGAAAUAGCGGUUAGCGGGCCGGGCGGGGGAUCGGGGGUUAGGGGUGGAGUCCGCCAAAGGCCCAAAGGUGAUGGUCAUCGAGAUGGAGCUACGAAAGGAUGAGCAGAGCUCGGAGCUCCGGCCUGCUGUCAAGUCCCCCAGCAGAACCAGCCUCAAAAACGCCCUCAAGAACAUGAUGGGCCUGAACU